AUUGAACGCUGGCGGCAGGCCUAACACAUGCAAGUCGAACGAGUGGCGGACGGGUGAGUAAUGUCUGGGCAACUGCCCGAUGGAGGGGGAUAACGACUGGCAACGGUAGCUAAUACCGCAUACCAUUGGAUGGGCCGAGAUGGGAUGAGCUAGUAGGUGGGGUAACGGCUCACCUAGGCGACGAUCCCUAGCUGGUCGGAGAGGAUGACCAGCCACACUGGAACUGAGCCACGGUCCGGACUCCUACGGGAGGCAGCAGUGGGGAAUAUUGCACAAUGGGCGCAAGCCUGAUGCAGCCAUGCCGCGUGUAUUAAGAAGGCCUUCGGGUUGUAAAGUACUUUCAGCGAGGAGUCGUUACUCGCAGAAGAAGCACCGGCUAACUCCGUGCCAGCAGCCGCGGUAAUUC
rnacentral:rRNA from 1 species